UUGAUUGCCCUGGCGAGCAGCAUUUUCAAUUUAUCUGCACAACAGGCACAGCACAGGCAGCAGCAGUGCCCAUGGUUCCCAUCCAAGCUGCCUCAGUCCUGCGAGGGACCACCUAGGAGGGGCACUGAGCUAUUUCUGCAUUACCCAGAGCUAUUCCUGCGCAGCCAGGC
rnacentral:sRNA from 7 species